rnacentral:rRNA from 1 species
UACGGGGGGAGCAAGCGUUGUUCGGAUUUACUGGGCGUAAAGGGCGCGUAGGCGGUCGUGACAAGUCACUUGUGAAAUCUCCGGGCUUAACUCGGAACGGUCAACUGAUACUGUGCGACUAGAGUGCGGAAGGGGCAACUGGAAUUCUCGGUGUAGCGGUGAAAUGCGUAGAUAUCGAGAGGAACACCUGCGGCGAAGGCGGGUUGCUGGGCCGACACUGACGCUGAUGCGCGAAAGCCAGGGGAGCGAACGGG